UAGGGUCGGUUCGGCCGGAUUUCACACAGGUGUUGCAUGGCUGUCGUCAGCUCGUGUCGUGAGAUGUUGGGUUAAGUCCCGCAACGAGCGUAACCCUCAUCCUUAGUUGCAUCAGGUAAUGCUGAGCACUUUAAGGAAACUGCUAGUGAUAAACUGGAGGAAGGUGGGGAUGAUGUCAAGUCAUCAUGGCCCUUAUGGAGUGGGCUACACACGUGCUACAAUGGUGGCUACAAUGGGCUGCAAAGUCGCGAGGCCAAGCUAAUCCCCUUAAAAGCCAUCUCAGUUCGGAUUGUACUCUGCAACUCGAGUGCAUGAAGUUGGAAUCGCUAGUAAUCGUGGAUCAGCAUGCCACGGUGAAUACGUUCUCGGGUCUUGUACACACUGCCCGUCACGCCAUGGGAAUUGGUUUCACUCGAAGCUAAUGACCUAACCGCAAGGAGGGAGUUAUUUAAAGUGGGAUCAGUGACUGGGGUGAAGUCGUAACAAGGUAAGCGUAGUGCU
rnacentral:rRNA from 1 species